UUGAUUUGAAAGAGAAACAUCUGAUAUUCUCUUGUUUUGUUACACCAAAUCAUUUGAACUUCUAGUGGAGAACUACCUUAAAGUAUGCAUUUAUUUUUCUAACUUUUUGCUUGAGCUACUUUUCAUGUUUUUUUUUUUUUUUUGUUUUGUUUUGUUUUGUUUCAACUUAGUUUAUCAUUCAUGACAACCCAGUUUUUAAUUCAUAACAGGUGUGGAAGUAUGGGGAUGGUUUUUUGACCUGUAAUUCUAAUAUUUACCCGCGCACAGAGCCUGUACCGUAUUUGACAUUUGAUGAAGCAGCUAAGCUUGCAUAUUUCGGUGCACAGGUUUUGCAUCCACAAUCCAUGGGAUCUGCUAGAGAGGCCAAUAUUCCUGUUAGGGUCAAGAACUUUUGUAAUCCUAAUGCUGCAGGUACCCUCAUCACCAGAGCUAGAGAUAUGAGUAAGACUGUACUAACCAGCAUAG